CCACUGUAUAUAAAUAAUAAACUGGGAUCCAUUUACCCCUCAAAUUACUAACAACGAUAGUGUGAAUUAUGUUAAAUGAAACUUUUCUUAAAUAGAAUAUACAGAGAGCUUAUCAUGUAUCAUAGCACGUGAUAUGUUGUUAAUGAUGAAAUGAAAAAUGUAGAUAACGUGGCAUACAUACUGGUUGAAAUGAAAAUAAUAUCAUACCAUGCUAGCAAGUGAUAUGGCAUAUAUACUUGGAAGCAAUAAUAUAAUGCAUAUGCUAGUAGUAACAUAUCAUGAUACUAAGAUAAUCCCUAAGUUUAAGUAUGGACAUUCAUAUAAAGCAUGGAUUUUUGGAUAGAGGUGAAACUCUAAAUCGUAAUGAAGCUAAUGCAGAGCCGAUACUAUGAAUAUAAGUAGUAAUGGUAAUGCUCUGAAUGUGAGAAGCAGAGGUGAUGCUCUGGACAUAAGUUGUAGAAUCGAUGAUUUGCAUGUAUAAGUAGUAGAGAAGAUGCUCUAGAUAUGAGCGAUGCUCUUGAUGUAUAAAUAGCCGAUGCGAUGCUCUGAACAUAAGUAGGAAAGGUAAUGCUCUAGAUAUAAGUUGUAUACUCUGGACAUAAAUAGUAGAGUCAAUGCUUUGGACAUAAGUAGCUCCGAUAAACUGAUGUCCUUACAUGGGGGUGGCGCAUCCAUGUUAAGGACUUCUUUUCUUCCUCCAUGGUAUUUGAUCCAGCUAUGAAAGGCUUUGCCUUCAUAGAUAUUAAGGUGGGCCAACCCCUUUCCUUACGAAACAAUAAAUAAUAUAAGCUUUUAUAAAGAUAAGUAGAUGUAACAUAAUUGAAGCAAAAGCAAAGCUCAAGAAGAUAGGUAGCUGUAAUGUAGUCGAUGUAGAGGCAUGAUGAGCUUUCUGAAGAUAGAUACAUCUGUGUUAUUGCUAAUGUAGAUUCGUGGCUCUAAGUAUAUAAACAGCUUGUAAUAAGCUGAUAUAGAGACAUGAUGAGCUCUCUUGAAUAUAAAUACAUCUGCAAUGCAACAACUCAUAUAGUGAGGCAUCUCACAAAGAGAGAAAUGAAUAUCGAGCAACCAGCUCAUCUCGAACUAUCGUGGACUUAAGGAUGAGUUCUUAUUGCUAUGCUAUAUGAUAGAGAAAAUUCCAAAUUGGAAGCAAAAGUACAAUCAUCUAGCAUACGCGAGACAUCUUUAAAUGAGAAUAACUAUCAAGCUGGUGGCUCGCCUUGGACUAUUGAAGACUUGUAAAGAGUCUUUGAAUGGACAAAAUCUUAUAGUUAGGCUUGACAGUAGUGAAAGGUGAGGAAUGAAAAUAUCUCAAAGCUAGGGAUAAACAUUUGACAAUGCAGAGAACAAACAUCUCGCGAAUAGCUCUCGAACUAUCGGAUCUUAUAACUUGAAUGACGAGGUCUUAUAACUUGCUCAACGAUAGUGAGGGAUAAGUGAUAAUAAUCUCGCAAAGCUAAGAAUAAGUAUAUGGCGAGCCCGUGAAUAAACAUCUUACGAGUAGCUCUCAAAUUAUUGAAGUCUUAUAAAUUGACUUCGGAUAGACGAAGUCUUAUAACUAGGCUCAACAAAAGAUAAACGUAGGGAAUAAGCAUCUCGCGAAGCUAGGAAUAAAUAUCCUGUAAAUAGCUCUCGAACUAUUGAAAGUCUUAUAAGCUGGCCUCGAAUAUAUAAGGUCUUAUAGUUAGGUUCGACGAUAGUGAAAUGCGAGAAAUAAACAUCUCGUGAAGCCAGGAAUAGUCAUAUAGCAAGGUGGGGAAUAAACAUCUCGUGAAUAGCUCUCGAACUAACAAAGUUUUAGAAGCUUGCCUCGAAUAGACGAGGUUUUAUGGCUGGCUCGAUGAUUGUGACGAGCAAGGGAUAAGCAUAUAAAAAACUCAAGAAUAAGCACUUGGCGAGGCAUAGAAUAUACAUCCUUCGAAUAGUUCUUGAAUUAUUGGAGUCUUAUAAGCUAACAUUGGAUAGACAAGGUCUCAUAACUAGGCUCGACGAUAGUGAGAUGAGAGGAAUAAGCAUCUCGUGAAGUCGAGAAUAAGGAUCUGGUAAGACACGGAAUAAACAUUCCGCAAAUGAUGUCAAGAAAAGCUCAUUUUGCAAGGACAAACACAUCUAAAAAUGCAUCUUCCUUUUUUCAAGGACUCCUAGAAACAUAAGGCACAGAGAUCAGGGCACCAUUAUAUAAAAAUCUAUGCAUAUACAUGCCAAGGCAAAGAUUCUUUCAACUUCCA
rnacentral:lncRNA from 1 species